GAGGCCUGAAGCCUUCUGGUGUUUUAUGGUGUUACUCUGUGUGGGAAAGGGGUGGACAGGAUGUUGCAAGUCUUAUCGCUUUUCAGUUAACAGGACUGCCAGGGUCCCCUCUGCAUGACCGCUGCAAAACCAGUUAGGAUGGCUCAUGACGCAGCACAGGAUCCACUGAAGGCUACUGCUACUAUUAAAAUUCUAUCCUACAAUCAAGGACCAGUGAAGAGUCAGCCUGAAUCCCACAGUGAAAGAGG